rfam:Enterobacter sp. 638, complete genome.
GGUAUUCCUUAUCUAUCUAAUACGUUGAUUUGUCUGGAACCUGUCCCAUUGUAUUUUCGCCAGAAAAUACAAUAAGACAGGUUCUGCGUUUAGUUGCCGCGCUCUAAAAAAGG